rnacentral:rRNA from 1 species
AUUGAACGCUGGCGGCAGGCUUAACACAUGCAAGUCGAGCGGAGAUGAGGUGCUUGCACCUUAUCUUAGCGGCGGACGGGUGAGUAAUGCUUAGGAAUCUGCCUAUUAGUGGGGGACAACAUUCCGAAAGGAAUGCUAAUACCGCAUACGCCCUACGGGGGAAAGCACGGGACCUUCGGACCUGGCGCUAAUAGAUGAGCCUAAGUCGGAUUAGCUAGUUGGUGGGGUAAAGGCCUACCAAGGCGACGAUCUGUAGCGGGUCUGAGAGGAUGAUCCGCCACACUGGGACUGAGACACGGCCCAGACUCCUACGGGAGGCAGCAGUGGGGAAUAUUGGACAAUGGGCGGAAGCCUGAUCCAGCCAUGCCGCGUGUGUGAAGAAGGCCUUUUGGUCGUAAAGCACUUUAAGCGAGGAGGAGGCUACCUGGAUUAAUACUCUAGGAUAGUGGACGUUACUCGCAGAAUAAGCACCGGCUAACUCUGUGCCAGCCGCCGCCGUAAAAC